rnacentral:tRNA from 1 species
GGGAGAUUUCCGGAGUGGCCAAACGGAGCAGACUGUAAAUCUGUUGUCUUACGACUUCGGUGGUUCGAAUCCAUCAUCUCCCACCA